CUGCUUAGACCGGCCUGCCCCGGCCUCGGGAGCCUAGGGGGCCCCGCCGACAGCCGGGCUCACGCUCUCACGAGUCCUGAAAUCUGCGGGUGCUUGCUUUUCGGAAGGCCCGCAUGGGGGCUAGCAGCACCCUGUCUGUGUCCCGGCAGCAUAAUCCCCACGGAGGAGGGGUGAUCCAAGCCUCUUGGCAGCUUUCAGGUGACAGAAAACAACCCCUUUGCUCUCUGCCGGGGGCUAGGCUUCUAGCUUGAGGCUUAGGGAGGAGCGAGAUGGCCAGGGGGCCGGACCAGGGUGGAGUGGCAGAACUUUGCGGCAGCUGGAGGUAAACCAGCCCAGAAGGCAGAAACUUCGGCCUGCUCUGGGCCGGAUUGGGGCCAGGGAGAGGAUCGCUGGGAAGAGGAGUACCACUUGCAUCGACACUUCCCUCAUCUGUGCUGCUGGUGGGUGUAGGUACCAGGCUUCUCCUCGGAAUUCGCCUUGCAAUCCCACGACUUGGGUGUAUGUUUUAAAGACGAAGUAGUGUCCCCAGUACUCCGGCUUGGACACCGACGAGGAUGCUGCCGAGGGACUUUGAGGACUGUUGUGUGCACAGAUGUCACAUGGGGGACGAUCUGUGAUAUAUGAAAUACUGCGCAAGUGCAAAUGUGCUGUUCAGAAACACAGGCUGCUUGGUCUUCAAGAAUUCUCCAGAAUCCCUAGAGCCCGCAGUGGCCAGUGGCUACAGAAUCUGAAGACCACCUACCUACAUUGUGUGCUCCCACUUUGAGAAGAAAGGAAAGGAGGGUUCUCUCUCACUGCCCUGAGCACACGUGGGACAAACAGUGCUUCUCCUGAGCAGGCCUGCAGGUGUUAGUCUUCAACAUCAGGAUCAGCACCCAAAUGCCAAGUGGAGACAGGGUGCCUCGUUCGUGCACAAGGCUGGGAAACAGAACUGUAGGCGCCUUGGGGAUCACCUCCCGGGCUGAGCUGCGUCUGGCCGGCGGUAAGCAGCCAGAGCUAAGGACUGGAGGAGACUAGGGAGAAGGUGCACUACCGCUGAGCGGGAGGUGGAUGCCGCAGGAGCUCCUGGAAGCGGCGGGGUGAUCUUUGCUCACUCCUACCCAUCUCCUUAGACAGGCUGGGUAGGGCCCUGCGUCUUGGCAAGGGUAGGAUUCUCUUCCUCUAGGCCUGUUUGCAGAGGUUGUAUAGGCCACCGCGGUUUCUCCGGUUCAUUCUGACAAAGCUAGGUGUCCACCUAGUGACCUCCCGCCUGCGUUCACCUCCAGCGGCCAUGGUCCUGAGCCAGGCGGAGCUCCUUGUUUUUCUGGCCGGGUUUCCAGGAGCCCUCAACUUCUCCAGCUCCUUGUGCUGCUAGAGAAACGCCAGCAAACGCCAUGCUAGGAAGACGCCGGCACAGCAGUCUCUCAGCGAGGCAGCCCCGCGCUCUGCUCUCCGAAGUCUAGACGUGAGCAAGUCGCUGGUCCCUGAUGAAAACGUUUCUCUCCCGGGCUGGGCUUCGGGCAGCUGCAGUGCUGGGCAGGCUGAGGUGCUGCGCAUGGUUCAGAUUGGAUGCUCAGCCGACUGUUGGUCUCUCAGGUCCCCCUUUCUUAUCGGUCCCUAACAGUCCCAACUUCCUGUCCCCUCGAGCCAGGAGAGACAAACUGGUGAGGCUAACCCUAACCCUGCCUCUGCAGCACAUUGAAAAGCAGGCUUCCGUGGGGCUUACCCCUUCCUACCCAACUCCACACUUAGCCGACCUCGAGCCUCCCACCCACAUCUCAGGCAUCUACAUCACUCUGAUACACUCACAAUGACCCCUGUCCACCUCUCUCCAUCAACUCUAAGUCCUCUCCGAGAUCACUUGUUGCACAUACUAGUUGAGAUUCUGCACAUUUACGUAAAUGUGUGUUAAAUUGGCUUUUAGACACUAAGUCUCUUUACACACCAGCAAGCCCUUCCAUCUCACGGCUUCCUAGCCGGUUGCUCCAUGUGAAGGGGAUUCCAUUUCGUGAAAACCUGCCGGACUGCGGCUUUGGAGACCUAGUGGUGUUCUCAGGACAUUUGCAGACUAGGCAAGGGGACCCUUGGUUUCUGGAUUCUGGAGGCUAGACCUGGGCGAGUCCCUCUACAGUGUCUAGGGAGGGACGUUCUAGAAUGAAGCAAUGGCUUGAAGAUACUGCACCUUGACUUGGAAAGUGGGAAGUGUGGAGGAUUUGUGGACAGUGAGAGAACAGAAUGUGGGAUUUUGGAGAGGGUCUUGGGCUGCCAGACAGCCGACCAAGCCCUCUGUGCGGGAUCACUUGUUAUCGGGUCUGCUCCGUGGAGUUCUUAUGUCGGUUUUACACUCUUUGUAGCCCAUCCUUCCCCAGGCCCCUUUGUAGACAACUGAGGCCUUGCUGAGCUCUGGUUUUGUGAUUGGGCAUAAUUACUGUCAGGCUGCUGUGGUGGUACAAGCAUGCUUUUGUUGGGAGAGGUAAUAGUCUGAAUUUAGGGUCUUUGGGAGUGGAUAAUUGAGGAUCCUGGUGUGCCAGAUUCCCAGUACUUUAUAGCUUUGGCAUUUCAUUUGGUGGAGUGAAGGAUCAGUAAUACAUCUGAACAGAAAAAGGUAUUUUAUGGCCGAUGGAAACUCAAGACCAGAAACAUGCAGGGUCUGUGUUAGCCCACAGAGGUACUUGGUGCAGACAGAAUGGGGGUCCUUAUGCCUGGCCAUCUUUUUGUUUUUAAACAGGGUCUCACUGUGUAGUCUGGAAGGCUGGCCUUGGCUAAGAUCUGUCUGCCUCUGUCUGUUGAGCACUGGGACUACAGGCCACCACACUGGACAUGUCUGUCCCUUACCUGUAUCUACCACUGACAGGCUGGGAGCCACUAUAGUUGAGCAGAUUACAAGGACUCCUGUUAAUUCUCAGUAAUAUCAGCUUGGGAAAUUAAGGAACCUUGUAUUGCUUCAGAAUUUUACAUUUUAUCAUUUUUAAUAGUGGCAUAUUCAUUGCAAUACAAUCUCUGUUCCAAAAUUAUGCAUCUACCAGACAACCAGAACCCCGGUUUUUUAUAACAUAUUUUAUGCAUAUACAAGCACGAACAGCUUUUUUCUCCUGCACACUGUCACUUUCUGUACAUGGUAGCAACUAGUGCUCCACAUCAUGCCCCUUAGAAAUCCUUCUGUAUCUGUCCCCCUUCCCCCACCCACAGGGUCUCUCUCUUAGCCCAGGCUGCCCUGGAACUUGAGAUAAUCCUCCUUUAGGCUCAUGUCUCUGAUUUCAGAUAUGCAUCAGGACACCCCAUUUUCUUAGUGCAUUUUCCUUACAGAGCUGAGUGGCUGAGCUGGUUCAUCUUCAGCAUCACCAUGAUUGGAUUUGGAAUCACCUAGGAAACACACCUGUGAGCCUGUCUGAAUUUCCAUCCCAGGGACUGGGGCCCUGGAAUGAGUAUAAGAGAGGGAGGAAGUUAGAGCACCAGCAUCUAUCUCAUUGCUUCCUGACCAUGGGACACAAUGUAACCAUCUGCCUAGUGAUUUUACUGCUGUGUCCUCCCCACCGUGAUCGACUUUAUCCCUCAAACUAUGAAUCCAAAGUGGCCUCUCUCUGUCUCUGUCUCUGUCUCUGUCUCUCUGUGUCUCUGUCUCUGUCUCUCUGUGUCUCUGUCUCUGUCUCUGUGUCUCUG